AGUGAACGCUGGCGGUAGGCCUAACACAUGCAAGUCGAACGGCAGCACAGUAAGAGCUUGCUCUUACGGGUGGCGACUGGCGGACGGGUGAGGAAUACAUCGGAAUCUACUUUUUCGUGGGGGAUAACGUAGGGAAACUUACGCUAAUACCGCAUACGACCUACGGGUGAAAGCAGGGGAUCUUCGGACCUUGCGCGAUUGAAUGAGCCGAUGUCGGAUUAGCUAGUUGGCGGGGUAAAGGCCCACCAAGGCGACGAUCCGUAGCUGGUCUGAGAGGAUGAUCAGCCACACUGGAACUGAGACACGGUCCAGACUCCUACAGGAGGCAGCAGUGGGGAAUAUUGGACAAUGGGCGCAAGCCUGAUCCAGCCAUACCGCGUGGGUGAAGAAGGCCUUCGGGUUGUAAAGCCCUUUUGUUGGGAAAGAAAAGCAGCAGGUUAAUACCCCGCUGUUCUGACGGUACCCAAAGAAUAAGCACCGGCUAACUUCGUG
rnacentral:rRNA from 1 species